AAAUAAAAAAAAAGAAAAAAAAAAUAGGUUACACUGCAUAUAAAAUCAAUAACAAACAACAUUCAAGAGAGAAAACAAGAUAUGAGCAUAUUAUCCAUUCAUCCUAAAUCUGAUUGCCUAAUUUAGAUAACGCAUAUUGGUUACUGCCCUAAAACAAGUUAGACGCUAAAAGUUGAUACUGAAGCCCAUUCUACUCACAAGGAAAAUUGUUAUGAAAUAUCAAACACCAAAACCAACUUCCAAAAAGUAAACAAUAAGACCUCAAACAAUUUCACUCAGAACAUAUCCCAACAGUAUCAAACAAAUUGGAGAGCUCAAGAUUGGGAAUUCAGCCUCUUCUCCAUAUACACUACAUCUCCAUUCAGUGUAAUUUUCCUCUGCAAGGAAGUUCACUAGGCGCCAGUUCCAUCAGAUAUGACUUGGUUUAGCGCCAUAAUCCUUUCUGUGAUCUCAUCGAACAACAAUGCCUUCAAUAACCAAAUAACGUUGUCACUUAAGUACUUUAAGUGUCUUUCAUAUGUUUUUUCAGAUUACAAAAAAUUAUUGAAAUUUCAACAGUAAUCUCAAGCACAAAUACCUGAACCACAACAAAAUACCAUUAAUUGAUGUUUAUAAUUCCUCCAGCACGAUUAAUCAAUCAUUAAACCCUAAUUUUUUAAUAUUCAUUAAACCCUAAUAAAAACUAAAUGAACGAAACAUAAUUAAAGAUGCGAUAACCUCAAAAAACUUCCCGAACCCAGAUCUAGAUAGCACUCUCCACAAACAAAAUAAUCAAUUUCGAAAUAGAUAUGACCA
rnacentral:misc_RNA from 1 species